rnacentral:lncRNA from 1 species
UCGAUUUUGAUGUGACUGACCUGUUGUCUCGCCGGAGACCGAGUCUCAGUUCAUGCCGUCGAUCGUCAUCGUCUGAUCUCGUCGCCGCCGUGGGAGGUAAGGGGAACGCGGGGAAGAGGAGAAGGGUGGCGAAGGGGCAAUGGGCAGGGUCGAUUUGGGCUGCUGGGUCGAAUCGGUUCAGGUGGGUCAAUUAGACCGCACCAACCCGCCCCAAUCCGACGUGGCCUGUGGGCUUGACCCAAGCACCACGUAGGCAAAACUGCUCUUCCAAUCCGCUUAACUUGGGGCUAGGGGAUAAUCUGUGUGGUUUUUUAUUGAUCAGGGGAUUAAAUCUGGUUUUAUAGUUGGGGGGUUAUCUGUCCCUUGAGUGAUAGUUCUGGGGGGCUAUCUAUACUAUUUUCUUUGUUUUUGGUCUAUGUAUGAGGAUUGAAUUAUAGCAGUUCUUUUGCAGGGCUUUUGUUGCUGGAUUUCAUGGCUGACAAUUUAAUGAUGGAUGAAAAUAUGAAACCAAGUCGCAGUCUAGUAAGAAGUCCUGUCUGCCGUUUAUGUAUUUAAUAAUGUUUUGUAUUUAAUUAUCUGUUGCACAUGAUAUCUUUUGAUUUGUGAACUAAGUAAAAUACUUCAACAGGUGUGUGGAGCUGGAAUUACGUCAAGCAAUGAUUUUCCCAUAAGAAAGUUGUUCCUGCGCGCUCAACAUGCCAAUACCACAGUAGAUCUGAACGCCACCACUAAUGCGAAUGUAAGCAUGUUUCAUAAUUGUUAUGCUUGUUGUACUAGUUAUGUGUUGUGAUGAAUGCACUUAUUAUUGACCACUUAUGGUUUUCUUUUGUUAGGCAAUCACUAAAUUCACUUUUGAUGGCAUUCUUGGCCCUAAAACCAGAGGAAUAUUAUCUAUGCCACUGCCAAAUGGGCGAUCAGAAGUCGGUAACUUGUUUCAUCUUUUUGCGGCUUUCUCCUUUUUGCACAUUUCAAUCUUGUUUAUUCUUCUCUAUUUUCUGUUUUCCAGUUUGAGUUCCAAGCUUUGAGGCCUAGUUCUGGUUUAACUGCUGCCUUUGGCACGACCAUUGAUUUGCCCGUGGAAGUAUCUUGUAUGAUUGGAUCCAAGCUGUUCUCUCUUGGGGGUUCAUUUGAGGCUGCCUACGAUAAAGAUUCAAAAUCUUAUACCUAUGGUCACUCCAUUGGCCUGGCUGCGAAAUUUCCCUCAACCUCUGUUAGCUUCGUGAUGUGAGUUCAGUUGACUUGUUCUGUAUUGACCUGUGGCAUAUGGCUGUAUACUUAUAACAUGUAACUGCAGGGAUCACAAUAGAACUGUCACCGCCACAGCUGUCUGUGAUUUUCCAUCCUGGCGCACAUCAUUUGGCUUGAUGGCGAAGCACCACUUGGUUGAUCCCAGCAAUCAUCAAGUCCCUGCUGGUGCUUUUGAAGAUGCUGCGGUUGUUGUGGGUGUGAGGCAUCGAUUAGGUCAAGCUUUGUCUCUGAAGGUUCGCUAGUGCAGUGGUCAAGGCUUCCUUUCGGCGAAGGCUCAGUGUUGCGCUCUCAGGCGAGAUGAACCUGCGAAACAUCUGUCAAGAUCCGAAAGUAGGGGUUGUGCUAUCGUUUCCUCAGUGCCGGUGGUCUUGCUGUGGUCAAUUGCUCGCUGUAAGCUCUGAGGCCAUUUUGUGAUGAUGUCUGUUGAGAACUGCCAUUAGUUUCUGCCUGCCCUUCUGACUUGGAGAUAUUGUGCCACGCAAGUGUGUCUGCUGUGCUGACUAUUUGGGAGUUUUGGAAACCUGAUUACAGUACUUGUUGCUGGCCUGUCAUUCUUGUGUGGUUCUGUUUGAUUGGCAGAA